AAUUAGUAGAAUUAGUUGAAUUGGAGAAAAAAAUUUCCCUAUGUAUACGUUCGAUAGGUAACAAUACAAAUUGAACGAGACCGUGCAUGAUCGUAGGAACGUAUGAUGAGUAAGAUAUAGAUGAAAAAACGAGUAAAUGUGUCAUGGAAGACGAUCGAAAAGUGCGUGCGACGUUAGAAAAAAAAAGUAAUAUUAUAAUAUUAAAACAAGAUUAGUGUUAAUUGUGAUAAAUAAAUAUAGACAAAAAUAUAUUAUUUAUUUAAUUUAUGUCCCAAUAUAAAGGUUAGAUUCCGAUAAGUGGAUUCAAUCUUACACAAUCAAAAAUCAGGACGCUAAAAAGAUCAAAGAAGACCUAUAAGAAAAAUUUGCGGUAUUCGACAUCCGCAAUUAUCAAUUCCCCUCAAAGUCCUCUCAAGUUGGCAACAAAAAAAAAAAAGAAAAAGAAA